rnacentral:lncRNA from 1 species
GAAGGCGAUCGGCUUUGUGGCGAGAGCUGGGCGUUCACUGCCUGCCGGCUGCCAGAGGCCAUCAGGGCAGAAGUUUCAGUUCAUGAGAUUUCCUGCAGCAGAGAGUACUUUAAAAGAGGAAGAGUUCCCUGUGACUUGGGCCUGCCGUGUGUACAGCACUUGUUCCUCUCUCAACUCUGCCUGCAGUUGAACACAAAGACCUGGGGGAGACUCCCACAUCCUUCGGGGAGGAGAAAGGAGGCGGCGGCAGAGCAGAUUAAAGGAACUUGGGGCUUGUGGCCUUCCCGAGCCGGGCC